AACUUCUGCAUGUGCUAUCCUGUUUAACAGAAGAUAAUAAAGACGUUCUUCGUACUCCAGUUAGUGAAGCUAAAAGUAAUGCAACUGCAAAAGUGAAAUCCACGAGAAACAAAGCUGGCAAAGGACAACGGAAAGCAGUGGCAGAAGUGAGGUCUGUGAGCAGAAGAAAAACAGCUGUAAAAUGCAGUAGUGAAAGUGGUGAUGAAAUUCCAGAAUCUGUCCCAAUGUCAAGUUCAAGGCCUUCAAGGCGAGCAAAAACAGUGGCACUGGAAAAAACAAGAAUGAAUCUUUCACAACUUUUGAAUAAGGAAGCAGAUCAAUGAAGACAAAAGGAGAGAAAGCAUCCUUGGCUAAUGCUGGUAGCUAACAUCAGACUUGAAGAAUAAGAUUUCUUUUGUUGUUAGUCGUAUUUAACUCUAUUAUAUGAUCAUUUAUAAUUCUAGAUUUUUAGGAACUUUUAUUUUUUUGUUAAAUAGAUGCUUUUGAUGAUUUUCCAGAUAUGGAGUCCAUCACUCAUGUAAUAAAAACAUAUUAAAAUAUUAC
rnacentral:lncRNA from 1 species